rnacentral:rRNA from 1 species
UACGAAGGGGGCUAGCGUUGUUCGGAUUUACUGGGCGUAAAGCGCACGUAGGCGGAUCGUUAAGUCGGGGGUGAAAUCCUGGAGCUCAACUCCAGAACUGCCUUCGAUACUGGCGAUCUUGAGUCCGGAAGAGGUGAGUGGAACUCCUAGUGUAGAGGUGAAAUUCGUAGAUAUUCGCAAGAACACCAGUGGCGAAGGCGGCUUACUGGUCCGGUUCUGACGCUGAGGCGCGAAAGCGUGGGGAGCAAACAGG